rnacentral:rRNA from 1 species
CCCUUAGAUGUCCGGGGCCGCACGCGCGCUACACUGAAGGAAUCAGCGUGGCUUUCUCCCUGACCCGAAAGGGUUGGGAAACCCGUUGAAUCUCCUUCGUGAUAGGGAUUGGGGCUUGAAAUUGUUCCCCAUGAACGAGGAAUUCCCAGUAAGCGCGAGUCAUAAGCUCGCGUUGAUUACGUCCCUGCCCUUUGUACACACCGCCCGUCGCUACUACCGAUUGAGUGAUCCGGUGAAUAAUUCGGACUGCCGCAGUGUUCGGUCACGAACGUUGCAGCGGAAAGUUUAGUGAACCUUAUCACUUAGAGGAAGGAGAAGUCGUAACA